rnacentral:rRNA from 1 species
UACAGAGGUCUCAAGCGUUGUUCGGAUUCAUUGGGCGUAAAGAGCUCGUAGGCGGCUUGUCGCGUCGUCCGUGAAAACCUGCGGCUCAACUGCAGGCUGGCGGUCGAUACGGGCAGGCUGGAGUUCGGUAGGGGAGACUGGAAUUCCUGGUGUAGCGGUGAAAUGCGCAGAUAUCAGGAGGAACACCGGUGGCGAAGGCGGCGUCCUGGACCAACACUGACACUGAUGAGCGAAAGCCAGGGGAGCAAACGGG